rnacentral:rRNA from 1 species
UACGGAGGGUGCGAGCGUUGUCCGGAAUCACUGGGCGUAAAGGGCGCGUAGGCGGCGCGGGAAGUCAUCGGUGAAAAGUUCAGGGCUCAACUCUGAAUCGGCCGGUGAUACUCUCGUGCUCGAGCACUGUAGAGGCAGGUGGAAUUCCGGGUGUAGCGGUGGAAUGCGUAGAGAUCCGGAAGAACACCGGUGGCGAAGGCGGCCUGCUGGGCAGUAGCUGACGCUGAUGCGCGACAGCGUGGGGAGCAAACAGG